GACGAACGCUGGCGGCGUGCUUAACACAUGCAAGUCGAACGGAAAGGCCUGCUUUCCCUUGUGGAUUGCGGGUACUCGAGUGGCGAACGGGUGAGUAACACGUGAGUGAUCUGCCCCCAACUUGGGUAUAAGCCUGGGAAACUGGGUCUAAUUCCCGAUAGGACUGCAGGGUGGUGCCUGUGGUGGAAAACGAUUUUCUAGUGGUUGGGGAUGAGCUCGCGGCCUAUCAGCUUGUUGGUGGGGUAAUGGCCUACCAAGGCGGCGACGGGUAGCCGGCCUGAGAGGGUGGACGGCCACAUUGGGACUGAGAUACGGCCCAGACUCCUACGGGAGGCAGCAGUGGGGAACAUAACACAAUGGGCGGAAGCCUGAUGCAGCGACGCCGCGUGGGGGAUGACGGCCUUCGGGUUGUAAACUCCUUUCGACCGCGAGGAAGCCACCUGGUUGGAAGGGUGGUGACGGUAGUGGUAGAAGAAGCACCGGCUAACUACGUG
rnacentral:rRNA from 1 species